AAAAAAAAGAAAAAGCAAAUACUCCAUAAUCUAAAGUGCCUUAGAAGGGAUAUCCAUUAAAUUUCAGGACAAUCCAUAUUCACAUGGAUUUCUGACAACAUCCAACCUUCUGGAUGUCCUUGUGCUCCUGACUGCAAAGCACCAGACGGGCACACGUGUAGCUGCAGUGGUGCCCCUCGGUCUGCCAUGCUGCAGGAAAUGCACCAUUUCUUGACAAGAACCAGCAAUGCACACAUAGCAAGUUUAAGCGGUCAAAAGAGGUUAUAACCUCAAUGGCUUUGACCCCAAGUUUAUUUUUAAAGGUGUGAAAAAAGCCAAGAUGCUCUUCAGUUCACCUCUCCCACCGUGCUGUACGGCAAGCUAAUGUUCACACAGGUUCCUAACCACCAGAGGGAGUCCCGGGAAACCAGCACCGGAGAAAGCGGAGUUAAAAUUGGUGUUUUCUACAGAGAUCUCCAGAAUACUAAUCAAGACCAACAGAUAAAGCAAUCCACGCAAAUCUGCUUGACGGUGAUUGCUUGGCAGGGUUUGGCUUGUUUGUCAGUAAGGUGGAGCAGAAUUCCAAAGGCACCACCAGGACCUGAACCACGCUGUGUCCUCAGCUGAGCACGUACAAAGGCCGCACGCUUGGAGAACUAAAACCACCUCUUGGGGGAUUCCUGAACUGAACUGAACUGCAGCAUGGCCCCACGCUGCUCCAUUCUACCACACAAUUUUUGCUCCUUGCUGCGUGGCAGGGACUGUGCAGCUUGUUGGGCCAGCAGCACAGGACUAGGGGCACUCACCUGCAGUUUCCUUCCUGAAGUGGUUUUGAUUUCGUGCAGAAGAGUUCAGCACAGCAAAGAGCAUCAGCAAGAGGCUCAAGGGCCUUUAGGUUUCUAAUGGUCUUCCAAGAACAGAGGCACCUUUUGCUGUUGCAGACGCUGGACAGCGGCUCUGGCGCUGCUGCUCUGAGCGCGGAUACAACGGAGUCCUGCAGGAAAGAGGCUGAGAUGCACACAGGCAACAUGUCAUGGGUUUUUAUUUGCAUAAUGCUGUGAGAGCACUUUGGUGCCCUGGAAAACUUUCUGCUGUGGAUCCCUACCAGCUGGGGGACUGAAAAACUGAAUUAAAAAAAUGCCGACUUCUAUAGUGGAGAAUAAUUAAAUAACGGUUUGACAGUU